rnacentral:rRNA from 1 species
UUAGGCCUACGGGACGCAGCAGUGAGGAAUAUUGGUCAAUGGGAGAGAUCCUGAACCAGCCACGCCGCGUGAGGGAAGACGGCCCUAUGGGUUGUAAACCUCUUUUGUCGGAGAACAAAACCCGGGACGUGUCCCGGACUGCGUGUAUCCGAAGAAAAAGCAUCGGCUAACUCCGUGCCAGCAGCCGCGGUAAUACGGAGGAUGCGAGCGUUAUCCGGAUUUACUGGGUGUAAAGGGUGCGUAGGCGGCUUUGCAAGUCAGACGUGAAAUCUAUGGGCUUAACCCAUAAACUGCUUUUGAAACUG